CUAUAGCAACUACCAUAUAUUUUAUUCCAUCUCUAACUACCACUUUAUUUUAACAAACAAAUUUCUUUUUACUCAACUAUCUAUAACUACCAUCUCAAAAUUUAUUUUCUUCUUUUUUUACUUUCCUUUUUUCUCUCUUUUCCUUUCCCCUUCUUUUCUUUUCCCUCCGCCAGCCUCUAUCUCGUUCACUCUCUUCAGGCCUCCCCCAGUCCCCCCUCAAUCCGGCGGCGGCAGCAGCGGGCCGGCGUGGGGCUGCUACGGCGGCAGGCAACGGAACGGUGGCGGCCGUAGUUUGCGGCGGCGGCGCGGGGGCUCCAGCAAUCCUCUCUCUCUCUCUCUCUCUCCCUCUCUCUCUUUGCGGACUCCGGCGGCAGUCGCCGAUCGAGGUUGCGGGGUCAACGCCGGCGACCUUGCUCCCUCCUAGCGCCGUCGUGCCGUCCUCCGCCGUGGCCGGCCCCUGGCUCCCUCCCUCACUCUCAGAUCCGGCUCUCCCGUCGUGGGUCGAGGUGCAGGGGCCCUACAAGCGCCGGCGAGUGCGUAGCCGCGGCGCCGCUGAGCUCGGGAUGGGCGGCGCGUAGGACCGUUGCUCUCCUCGUCGCAACGGCGGUCGGCUCUAGGCGGCGGAGGCGCAGCGCGUGGUGGCUGGACCGCGUGGAGGAGGUGCGGCGGGACGGCUCCAGGAAGCUCUUCGAGCAAAAAACAAUGGAAACUUACCAAUCAGCAAUGUAGGUCCACAAAGCAAUGUCAAAGAAAAAAUGUUUUGAGUUGCAUGCUGCAUUCAUUGAUUGUGUUUUCUUCCUCAACCUGCCAUGAAGCAAGCUGUGGAGAGACAGCCAAGGAUUAUGACAACCAUAAUUGAAGAAUAAAGCAUUUUUCUUGCGAAGGAAUAAAUGCUAUACAUACCUAUCGCCCUUUCACUAUUGAAAAUUGUAAGAAUUUUGAAGUGUUUAGUCUGGUCAUAUGGUAUUAUUAGAAUUAUCAAAAGAGCUACCUGAAUCAUACUAAUCGUCGGUUUUAUGUAACAUGACUAGCUUCAGAUUGCAAUUACAGACAGAUGGAAUUAUCCAAAGAACUUACACAUAUAGCUCCAGUUCCAGGUGAUCAUUGUUGUAGAGCUAGGAUGUAGGUCCAAAAGCAGACCCAUGCUAGUCUCGAGGAAGUUAUUAAUCCAAUAGAAGAGCACCAUCCACAUUGAGAAUGGAGUGAUUCCAAGUGGAAUGUUGCACAAGUGGAACAUAUCUUCUUAUUGAAUACCAGCAUCGGUCAAGCCACAGACAGACCCCCUGGCCAAUCCUGUUCCACUGAAUCCCCAUCCCAGGUCUACAGCAAUCAUCAUUGACAGACAGGAUAACUUGCUGUAUGUUCAUUAGUUAAUCCUAUGCAACAGGUACUAACAUGACUAGCUUCAGAUUGGAACUACCUACAGAUGGUAUUGUCCAAAGAAUUUGCACAAAUAGCUCCAGUUCCAGGUGAUCAUUGCUGUAGAGCUAGGAUGUAUGUCCACAAAGCAGACCCAUGCUAGGUUCAAGGAAGAAAAAUUUAAUCCAGUAGAAGAGCACCAUCCACAAUGAGAAUAAAAUGAUUCUUUCUGGAAUGUUGCACUAAUGGUAAUGGAUCAAGUCUUCUUGAAUACCAGCAUCAGUAAUGCAUGGACAGACAUCCCAGGUCUACAACAAUCAUCAUUAACAGGAUAACCUGCUGUAAAUUCAUUAGUUAAUCCUAUACAACAAGUAGCGACAUGACUAUUUCAGAUUGCAACUACCUCAAGAUAGUAUUAUCCAAAGAACUGACGCCGACAAACCCAGUUCCGGGUGAUCCUUGUUGUAGAGCUAGGAUGUAGGUCCACAAAACAACCCCAUGUCAGUCUCAAGAAAAAUUUAGCCCAGUUGAAGAGCAACAUCCACACAAGAGUGGAGGGAUUCCAACAUCAGUUGAGACAUACUCCCUCCGUCCCAAAUUACUAGUCGUUUUGGCUUUUCAAGAUUCAUGGGCUUUGUUAUGCAUCUAGACAUAAUAUAUAUGUAUCUAGAAAAGCCAAAACGACUAAUAAUUUGGGACGGAGGGAGUAGACAAACAUCCCAGGUGGUCUACAACAAUCAUCAUUGACAAAAAGGAUAAAUUGAUGUAAGUUCAUUAGUUAAUCCUAUACCACAGGUAACAAUCACUUUGAUGUAAGCCUUCUUCAAACUCGACCGAUUUAGGUGAACAAGAAUGAGGCAUGGCCUGCUUUUGUUUUAUUUUGUUCUUGAUGACAUUGUAAUUCCUAAGUGACGUCUGCCAUUUGCGCUGGCUUGCUGCUUUUGUCCUUGUCUGACUGGCGGCACCCCCUUCUUUAGCAGAUGGGGAAGGAGUGGAAGCAACUUCGUCGUGGAGAAAGGAGGGUGACCCUGAGCAAAGAAAGAUGCCUUGCCUCUCAUCAAUCAGUUUUCUCUCUAGCAUAAAGUCGUACUACUGUCUCCACAAAAGAAUGCAAUUCUCACUCCCUGAGAAGUCAAAUUGUUUCAAAUCCGAAGAGCAGUGAAGCAAUGAAGCAUACAAACUGUUCUGACAGAUGAUGAUUCUGUCUGACAGGCUUAAGAGCAGUAAGACAGUCAAAAUGUUCCGGUCAAUCAAUUUAAAAUGGAAACUUGUUUGCUCCAAAAGCAUACUAAACGUCUCCUACGUGUUCUGACAGGUGAUGUAGAAUGGCCAAUCCAUGAACGGGGCCGUAUUUCCCAAACGAGCAACUAGGUAGAGGCGUAGAGCAGUAAAGCUAGCAUAGCCCUGCCGUAGGGCGGAUGACAUUGCAAAACACCAAUUUGAAACUAUCGCAUCUUACAAGCUAAUCACGGAAGGCAUAAUACAAUACAACUCACAGCGCUGAUCAACCCCAAAAACAAUAUCCAAUUUUCAGGAUCCACGCAUGAGACAUCAGGUAUUUCAUCUCUAUUUUUAAUUUAAUCCACACGAGAAAUGGUGAAAUCGCGGUCCAGAUUACACGAAUCGAUUGAACGCAGAAGCCAGGAUUGGGAGAGGGCGGGGGGUGCUAGCGGCGAGGCGGACGCUUACCAAGUCCUCGUUGAUGACGUGGCACUCGAGGUCGUCGUCCCAGCCGUCGUGGAGGCCCUUCUCGCGGACGAGGUCGCCGAUGUUGACGUGGCGGAGGCCCGCGGCUUCGGAGAGGAGGGAGCAGGUCGUCGUCUUCCCCGUGCCCGGCGUCCCCGUCACCAGCACGUUCGGCCGCGGGCGCCGAGCGGCGGCGCCGUUCGCCGCCGCCAUCGGGAGGGCAGGGUUUUAGGUUUUUCCCUCUCGAUCGAUGCGAAAUUGCGAAUCUUUUAUACGGGCCCGUCUGCUAAUAUGGAGCACGACACGGUUGUGGGCUUUCGGCAGUAGGAUGCUUUGUGGGCCGGUAAGUUUUGCUUGCUGGGCCGGAUUCUUGUCAUUUCUUACGAGCUAUCAAACCUUCAUAACAAAAUGAAAACAGCUUUUUCCUAUAAAAAAAUGAAAACAGCUUUCUUUUAGCAAGCAUUACUCUCUCUAUUUCUCUUAGCCUUCCUAGCUAAAUAAAAACAGAUUUAAUAGAAAAAUGAAAUGAAAAAAACAGCUUUCUUUUAUAGGCUAGGGAUGACAAAUGUGCGCUCAUCUUUCCCACAAUAAGUUUAUUCUAGCACUGUCCUAAGUCAGACGAUCCUAAAUAUGAUGAAAUUUAUACAAAAAUGUAGCAAUAUUUAUCAUACUAAAUAUAUAUUGCUAAAUUCAUAGUAUACUUAUUUGAUGUUUUGAAUGCUGAUACUCUCUCUAUAAAACAUGGUCAAAUUAAGAUAAUUUGACUUAGGAUAAAGCUAAAACAUGCACUAAAUUUUUUUCUAGGUAUGGAGUAUAUAUGGUUCCACGGAACCGAGCAAGGAAACUACUUUUUCAAUCUUUCAACUAGGUGUGAAAUAACAUUCAGUAGUUAAAAAGUCAGGAUGUCUUAUAGACAAUAUUUCAAAAAACAUAGCUACCAAAAUUUUUGAUCAAACCUUGUCUAAAACAUGAAGCAUUUGUGGCCUUGUAGGAGUACAACGCAAAUAGGCAAACACCUGCUCUUUUCAUGGUUUGCUCUCUAGGUGCUUGUGUUCCAUACGUCGUUCCGCAAUAUGUCAUCUGCUAGGAAGAUGGAACCCUGUUGCAACAGCCGAACACAAUGAGUCAUCAUCUCGUGGCUCCUUGCUAAGUGCUCCUUUAGUCACUUUCCCCAGCGGUUACAGGCCUGCAGCAGGAUGCAGGUGCUAGCGGUCUGAGUUAACUGCCACCACAUUCAGCCUCUCCCAUGCAGAUCCAAUCUGUCCAUUUCUUUCGUAACCUCUGCCUCAGUUAGAUCCCUAACUAAGCUAUCAACCAAGCAUUGCAACUUGCAAGUGGCAACACGAUUUGGAGGUUUACAUUGGGCAAGACAUGUUGCAUAAUGCGCAUUGUGCUGGCCUACAUCCAGUGCUUUUUCACAAGAUUUUGUUUAAACGUCUAUUUGCCAUGUUGAGUUUUUGUCAGCGGUUCGUUUUGUGUUUACCUGGGAACUGGUUUCAGACUUGGUGAAACCAAUCAACAAACACGUCGAAACUGAAAAAUAGAGAACAAGUCAAAUUAUUGUAAUAAACUUGUCCCGUUGCCAAUGACAUGAUUUUGAACAUUUCAUUGCCGACAACAAGUAGAGAACUUUAUUGGAUUCUUCAUGCAGUGGGGGUCGAAUCUUGUCCUUCGGCAGUGGUUGGGGUGAAUAAUUCAGAUUUGGCUUUGUGAAAACUACCCAAGAAAUAGCAUGUGUUUUUAGAAUGGCAGAAGGCACAGUUUACUGCAACUGUGGCGGCCCAUGGUCGCCAUGAUCAAGAAUCGGUGAAGCUCUCCUGCAGGAAGCUCUAGUAAGAAGAUCAAAGAGGAUCUCGCAUCUCGCUGGUAAUCAUUGAUGGUUCUGAAGAUUCCACCCCUGCCAAGAGUACUUUAUGGAUUGAUCUUGGUACGAUAGCGUUCUGAAUCCUGUUUCCAAUAUUCUCGUAGAAAAUAACCCUUUUGAAGUUACUUUCUCCGGAACAUUAUGUUUUGGUGAUCCACUGAGUUAUUUUUCCCAAUAGUCAGGUGCAUCCACUGAGUUAUUUUUCCCAGCACCAGUAGAGAAUUGGUUGCCUUUUCAGUUGCCUUGAAAACUGAAAAGGGUACACUUACAACUCCAUUUCCACUUGUAUCUAAAGUUCCUAGACACAAUAUUCACAAACAGCAUGAACAAGAAUUUCUAACACACAAUCUACUACCCCAGUGCUAGCCUCCAACAGACAUCCAAUGUGAAGAGGUUUAUUCACCAGCGUUUCUCCGGAUAUUCUACUCACCAACAUCUCUUCCCGUUGGGCCGGAUCCAGUCCACUGCCACCGCGCCUUGGACUCUCCAUCGACCCCUUCGACACCUGCUCCUUGUUGCUUCUGAGC